UCGUGGCAGGAUUCGUCGCAACCUCGCCAUUUUCAGCUUAUAAGGUUUGGCUUAAAUUCUGUGAUCUCUGGAGUAUAAUUCACUGAAUAAAUCUCAGCAAAAUAGGCGCAUAACUAGGGUUCAUAAUCUGUACGCUUCCCGGAAAAGAUAUUUACUAAAUUAGAUUAUGCUGUGUCAGGGUUUCUUCAUCUGAGGCUUUAAGAAAAUCGUUAUAUUUGGAAGCUUAUUCGUUUAAUCUCUCAUUGUGUAACUCGAAAUCUCCCUCUCUCCUCCGCGAAAUAUUAAAAUUUUGAAGAAAUUUGCAGCUGAAGGUAUCUCUGUUGAGCUCACGAGAGUUUGGACAAACUUGUGUAACUUGACAUGGCUGGAAGAAACCGGAUGCCUCGCGAAGCAUUUGAUAACCGACGUGGAUAUCCUCCAGAAGGACCUGUUCUACAUGGUCCUUUACCACGGCCUAUACCUCCUCAUCCUGCUUUACUGGAGGAGGAGCUUGAAAUGCAGCAUGCCGAUAUUCGCAGGCUUUUAGAUGAAAAUCGAAGACUGGUUGAAGAUAGAGUUGCUUUGCAGCAGGAUCUGGGUGCUGCAAACGAAGAACUUCGUCGUAUGAAUCUUAUCUUAGCUGAUAUUCGUGCUGAACAGGAAGUCCAGUCGAGGGAACUUAUCGAAAGGGGAUUGAAGUUGGAAGCUGAUCUUCGUGCUACUGAGCCUCUGAAAAUCGAGGCUGGACAACUUCGUGCUGAAGUUCAGAGGCUGAACACCAUCAGGCAGGAUAUGUCUGGGCAAGUGCAGGCCCUUACAAAAGACCUUACAAGAUUGCAAGCUGAUAACCAGCAGAUUCCUCGUUUAAGGGCUGAGCUUGACGGACUACAUCAGGAACUUAUGCGCUCUAGAGCUGCUAUUGACUAUGAAAAGAAAGUAAAUAUUGAGCUGGUGGAGCAGAGACAAGCAAUGGAGAAGAAUUUGGUCAGUAUGGCUCGAGAAGUUGAAAAGCUGCGUGCAGAGCUUGCCAAUUCUGAUGGCCGAGGAUGGUCUGCAGGUGGACCAUAUGGGAUGAAAUUCAGCAGCCCUGAGGGUGGUUUUCCUGGACCUUACGGUGACGGAUAUGGAGCUCAUAUGGGUGCUGCCAACAAGGGUCCAUUCUAUGGCUCAAGUUCGGCUUCAUGGGCAGGAGUAGAGAAGCCACGUAUCAAUCGCCGUUGAGAUGUGGAUGUCUUGAGUGACUAUAGGCAUGUCUCAUCCCUUCCUGUUUGGUGGCUAUUAUCUUGGAAAGGACAAGCUGCUACUGGCUAUGUUCUUCUAACCCUGUGCAAAGGUAAAUUUACAGAAUCAGGUAAGUUUACUUGUGACAAACUUAAUUCCUGAAUCAACCUAACAAAAUGAUGGCAAUUACAAAAGCAGUAAGUAGUCAUUAACCAUUCUGAUAUCAAGGACUUUUGAAAUGACUGGCUCUCAAGCACAUACUUAGUGGAUUUUGUCAAGAUGUGAAAGCUGGCCCAGGGAAUGCCAUCUUAUUGGAUUUAAUUCAUUCCGUCUUGACUCGACUGUGCUUUACUUUGAUUAAGCAGUAAUGGAUGGUGAGAGCUGUAGCACUCUGCUGUUUAGUCCACUGAACCAUCUCUUCUUAUUCAAAAGUUAAACUCAGUAAAUCCCAAAUAUUUUUUUUUAUCCAUAAAGAAUAUUUGAGUGGAACUUCUUAAAAUAAGGAAUUUUAAGUUUAGCUUCUUAUGUUAUAUUUAAACUUGGUUGAUAGUUUUAAGGGUUAAUUGCAGUUUAGGUCUCAGAAUUCUGAAGUUGUAUUGAUUAAGCCUGCAACAGAUCAAUUCUUUGAUUUUCACCCUUUAAUUUCCAAAAAUUUGUUGGAAAUCAAAGGGUGAAACUGAGAUUGAUUUGUUAUUGCCCACUAGACACAACCGAAAUUCUUUGAAAACUAAGUGGAUUAAUGUGUGCAGUUGGUUUUCUAACUUGGAUUCCAAAAAAUACUUUUCUACAAAUUUCUAGAUAAAAUUCAGUGGUUUGAUAUUACGUUAAAUCUUGGUCAAAUAUAUUUAAAUUUGUUUUUAUGGCAAUGAUGGUCAUCGAUCCUUUGGUAGUAGUUCGAUCCAAAUAAGCAGUUCCUCUUGGGAUAUUCAUGAAUUUUCUAAGAUUGAUGGAAUAUGUUGCAAAAGUUUUGUUUGUUGCAGAGCCUGGUUUUGUUGCUGAUUUUCAAUAGCGAAUGAAACUAGUGUUUACGCUCAUCCAGGAGGUUUGAUUGAUGGUUUCAUAAUUCAUAUGUAUGUGCGUGUAAACCAAUGGGGCUAGGGGUAUCUUUUGUCAAAUGUGAAAGUAUUUCUAGUUCAAUCAAGAGCUCUAGAGUAGUUUGGUAACACCCUUUUAUUUUUUUUAGCCGUUUUGUUUGGUAAUACUUAUCAAGUACUCUCUGUUCCGCUGGUUUUCCAAAAUGGGGAAGAUAUGCUGUUUGGAUGGCUUUACUUCUGUAGCUCUGUACCUAUAUCGACAUUGGACCUAUGCAUCAAGGCUUUUUCGUAUUUCUCAA